UUCGCAAUGCCCGAAAGGGUGACGAAGCGACGCCGCGUGUGGGAAGAAGGCCUUCGGGUUGUAAACCACUGUCGGGAGUUAAGAAAUGCAAGAAUGUUAAUAGCGUUUUUGCUUGACUAAGGCUCCGGAGGAAGCCACGGCUAACUCUGUGCCAGCAGCCGCGGUAAUACAGAGGCGGCAAGCGUUGUUCGGAAUUAUUGGGCGUAAAGAGCACGUAGGCGGCUAUAUAAGUCGGUUGUGAAAGCCUUCCGCUCAACGGGAGAACAGCAUCCGAUACUGUAUGGCUUGAGUGUGGGAGGGGAGAGCGGAACUUCUGGUGGAGCGGUGAAAUGCGUAGAUAUCAGAAGGAACGCCGGCGGCGAAAGCGGCUCUCUGGCCCAUAACUGACGCUGAGUGUGCGAAAGCUAGGGGAGCAAACGGGAUUAGAUACCCCGGUAGUCCUAGCAAACGAUGGGCACUAAGUAGAGGGGUUUU
rnacentral:rRNA from 1 species